UCCUUCUUAGCUCAGUUGGUAGAGCGCGUCACUAGUAAUGACGAGGUCAGUCGUUCGAGUCGGCUAGAAGGAA
rfam:Leucoagaricus sp. SymC.cos contig383, whole genome shotgun sequence.